AACGCGAAGAACCUUACCUGGGUUUGACAUGUAGGGAAAUCUCGUAGAGAUACGAGGUCCGUAAGGGCCUUGCACAGGUGGUGCAUGGCUGUCGUCAGCUCGUGUCGUGAGAUGUUGGGUUAAGUCCCGCAACGAGCGCAACCCUCGUCCUAUGUUGCCAGCGAGUAAUGUCGGGGACUCAUAGGAGACUGCCGGGGUCAACUCGGAGGAAGGUGGGGAUGACGUCAAGUCAUCAUGCCCCUUAUGUCCAGGGCUGCACGCAUGCUACAAUGGCCGGUACAAAGAGCUGCGAUACCGCAAGGUGGAGCGAAUCUCAUAAAGCCGGUCUCAGUUCGGAUUGGGGUCUGCAACUCGACCCCAUGAAGUCGGAGUCGCUAGUAAUCGCAGAUCAGCAACGCUGCGGUGAAUACGUUCCCGGGCCUUGUACACACCGUAGUAC
rnacentral:rRNA from 1 species